CAAUUAAAUUUUGUUGAAGGUUUUAGUUUAAAUCACUACAAAACUGGAAGUUUGUAUCAUAGAA